UACCGAAUGAGCAUAUAUAUAUGUACAUAUUUUUUGUAUGUUUUCUAACCGUUAAAUCGAUAUUGCGGUAAUGUUUAUUGCACUGAGUUGGGUUUAUUUUUACGACGAUGGAAUGUAUACUAUUGUAUUACGUGUUUAUCGUUGGCCGUAGAUAUAAGUUUACGAUGGUAUUCCAUGACCUAGAAAUCGGCCGGUUACGCGAUAAAAUAAUAUCGUGGGUGCCGUUUUAAAUUCAUUAUUGGAUUUG